AGAAUGAACGUUGGCGGCGUGGAUUAGGCAUGCAAGUCGUACGGGCCGCAAGGCCAGUGGCGCAAGGGUGAGUAAGGCGACGGUAACCAACCCCAUGGGUGGGUAUAGCCGCGGGAAACUGCGGGUAAUCCCCAGCGAUGCAUGGGACCGGCAUCGGUCCUCUGCCAAAGCUCAGGCGCCGUGGGACGGGCCGUCGUGGUAUUAGGUAGUUGGCGGGGUAACGGCCCACCAAGCCUUCGAUGCCUACCGGGCGUGCGAGCGUGGCCCGGCACACUGGGACUGAGACACUGCCCAGACUCCUACGGGAGGCUGCAGUCGAGAAUCUUCGGCAAUGGGCGCAAGCCUGACCGAGCGACGCCGCGUGGGGGAUGAAGGCCUUCGGGUUGUAAACCCGUUUCAGCAGGGACGAAGCGAGAGUGACGGUACUGCAGAAGAAGACGCCGGCUAACUACGUGCCAGCAGCGC
rnacentral:rRNA from 1 species